UCGUCAUCGUAGGGUUAGUCGGGUCCUAAGUCGAGUCCGAGAGGGGUAGACGAUGGCAAAUUGGUUAAUAUUCCAAUACCAACAAUUAAGCGCGAUGUGGGGACGCAUAGAGUUAAUCGAGCUCACUGAUGGAAUAGUGGGUCGAAGGAAGUAGGAUGUUAUUUAGGAAAAUCCGGAUAACAAUAGUCCGAGAUCUGAUAGGCUAAUGACACUUUUCGAAGGAUAAUUAGAAUCGAUGAUACUGUCGUGCCAAGAAAAGCCACUAAGUAUAUUAAUUGUUGCCCGUACCGUAAACCGAUACAGGUGGGUGGGAUGAGUAUUCUAAGGCGCGUGGAAGAACCCUGGUUAAGGAACUCUGCAAACUAGCACCGUAUCUUCGGUAGAAGGUGUGCCUACUUUGGUAUAGGGAUUUACUCCCAAAAGCUAAAGAGGUUGCAACAAAGAGUCCCUCCCGACUGUUUAC
rnacentral:rRNA from 1 species